rnacentral:rRNA from 1 species
GACGAACGCUGGCGGCGUGCUUAACACAUGCAAGUCGAACGGAAAGGCCCUGCUUUUGUGGGGUGCUCGAGUGGCGAACGGGUGAGUAACACGUGAGUAACCUGCCCUUGACUUUGGGAUAACUUCAGGAAACUGGGGCUAAUACCGGAUAGGAGCUCCUGCUGCAUGGUGGGGGUUGGAAAGUUUCGGCGGUUGGGGAUGGACUCGCGGCUUAUCAGCUUGUUGGUGGGGUAGUGGCUUACCAAGGCUUUGACGGGUAGCCGGCCUGAGAGGGUGACCGGCCACAUUGGGACUGAGAUACGGCCCAGACUCGUACGGGAGGCAGCAGUGGGGAAUAUUGCACAAUGGGAGGAAGCCUGAUGCAGAAACGCAGCGUGCGGGAUGACGGCCUUCGGGUUGUAAACCGCUUUCGCCUGUGACGAAGCGUGAGUGACGGUAAUGGGUAAAGAAGCACCGGCUAACUACGUG